UACGUAGGUGGCAAGCGUUGUCCGGAUUCACUGGGCGUAAAGCGCGCGCAGGCGGUCUUCUACGUCUGGGGUGAAAACCCGGGGCUCAACCCCGGGACUGCCUUGGAUACUGGAAGACUUGAGGAUCGGAGAGGCAAGGGGAAUUCCACGUGUAGCGGUGAAAUGCGUAGAGAUGUGGAGGAACACCUGUGGCGAAGGCGCCUUGCUGGCCGAUUUCUGACGCUGAGGCGCGAAAGCGUGGGGAGCAAACAGG
rnacentral:rRNA from 1 species